GUUUGAUCAAGCUCUCUCCCUCCCCGUUUAUCUCUCUUCUCUGAUCAUCUUUUCUCGACCGAUUUUCGAGAGCCUUCAAGUGAUGAUUUGAGAUUCAUUGCGGGUUUAGACGGUUCAUAGGUUGAGUGCGAUCGAGGCCGAUCUUCGAACAAGAAUCCAGAGACGUAACUAUGAAUUCGGCUUCAUCCGAGGUAAUUCUGUAUUCGGUUUUGGUUUUGUUUUUGUUGAUUUUCUGAGCAUCGUUUGGUUUUUGGCAGAUAAAGUUGGCUUCAAUAGUUUGGUUUCGUUUUUGGCAGAUAAAUUUGGCUUCAAGAGUUUGGUUUGGUUUUUGGUGGACAAAUUACAUUUCAAUAGCUUUGUUUGAUUCUUGGAGGACAAAUUGGUGUUUUUUUACUACUCUUAAGCUUCUCUUCUAUUUGCAGGUCUAACAUUCUUCUCCUACCAAGAGACUCUGAUUGGCUUUGAAUCUGAGACUCUGAGGAGACACAAUGAAGAAACGAUAUCUUGCCUUUUGUGACUCUAUGCUAGAGUGGUAGGAUUCCAGGUUGUAUGAAAUUUUUUUUUCCCGUCCACGGUUGUGAGUGGAUCGCAGAGCCACAGCUCAAUUGAUGUUCAAGUUGGGUCAGAAAACUCAUGAAAACUUGGUGUACCAGAAAUAAAAGGCACGUCAUCAAAUUAAAAACAGGGGGCUGAACAUUUGCUAUGGGUGUUGCAAGAAUGUGGGUGUAGUUUUGCUGGUUUUCAUGUAUCUGUGAGGGUGUUGUGCCCUUGCUUUUGAUAAAUUUCAGAGCACGAGGUGUCCUGGGAGGGCCCCAACUGUGGGAGGCACCUUUAAGACCGUACCACACCCAGACUAAUCCCCGCUCGUACCGGGUCGGCCCACUAAGGUGUUAAGUGCUGGCCAACAGGGUACUCCAUACAUGAGCGGGGUCAUUUGAGGCUUUCUUUCGCCGUUCUUUGGACAUUAUUUAUGCAGUGUGAGAUAAACCUUCCUAUUAUGGGAAAAAGUCUCAUGGGUUGGAAAUGGAAUCCCCAUAAAGGUGUCAAGGCAAGAAAGGAAGGAAAAGAGUGCAAAAUGAAGAUUUUUACUCCAAAACCGAUUUCCGAUCGAUCGGAUCCAUUCCCGAUCAAUCGGACCUGCCGAAACAGCCUUGAAUUCAUGGAGACAGAGGCUAUUUCCGAUCGAUCGGCACAGUGUCCGAUCGAUCGGAGAUACUAUUCACAGCACGCGCAGUUUCGCGAAAAAAUUCUGAAUUCACUUGUUUUUAAGCCAA